GGCUCAGAACGAACGCGGCGGGCGUGCUUAACACAUGCAAGUCGAACGAGAAUCGGAGCUUGCUCCGAGGAUAGUGGCGCACGGGUGAGUAACGCGUGGAUAACCUGCCCUGGUAUCUGGGAUAACAUCUCGAAAGGGGUGCUAAUACCGGAUAAGACCACGAGCUCUUAGGAGCUUGCGGUAAAAGGUGGCCUCUGAAUAUGCUACUGUAUCAGGAUGGGUCCGCGUACCAUUAGCUAGUUGGUGGUGUAAUGGACCACCAAGGCGACGAUGGUUAGCUGGUCUGAGAGGAUGAUCAGCCACACUGGAGCUGAGACACGGUCCAGACUCCUACGGGAGGCAGCAGUGGGGAAUUUUGCGCAAUGGGGGAAACCCUGACGCAGCAACGCCGCGUGAGUGAUGAAGGCCUUCGGGUCGUAAAGCUCUGUCAGUGGGGAAGAAGUGUGCGGGUGCUAAUACCAUCUGUACUUGACGGUACCCACAAAGGAAGCACCGGCUAACUCCGUGCCAGCAGCCGCGGUAAUACGGAGGGUGCAAGCGUUGUUCGGAUUUAUUGGGCGUAAAGCGCGUGUAGGCGGUUUCUUAAGUCUGAUGUGAAAGCCCCGGGCUCAACCCGGGAAGUGCAUUGGAUACUGGGAGACUUGAAUACGGGAGAGGGUAGUGGAAUUCCUAGUGUAGGAGUGAAAUCCGUAGAUAUUAGGAGGAACACCGGUGGCGAAGGCGGCUACCUGGACCGAUAUUGACGCUGAGACGCGAAAGCGUGGGGAGCAAACAGGAUUAGAUACCCUGGUAGUCCACGCCGUAAACGAUGAGAACUAGGUGUUGCGGGUAUUGACCCCUGCAGUGCCGCAGCUAACGCAUUAAGUUCUCCGCCUGGGAAGUACGGUCGCAA
rnacentral:rRNA from 1 species